UACGUAGGGUGCGAGCGUUAAUCGGAAUUACUGGGCGUAAAGCGUGCGUAGGCGGUUCGUUGUGUCUGUGGUGAAAGCCCCGGGCUUAACCUGGGAAUGGCCAUGGAAACUGGCGAGCUGGAGUGUGGCAGAGGAGGGUGGAAUUCCGCGUGUAGCAGUGAAAUGCGUAGAGAUCGUAAGGAAGACCAGUGGCGAAGGCGGGUCUCUGGACAGUUCCUGACACUGAGGCACGAAGGCCAGGGGAGCAAACGGG
rnacentral:rRNA from 1 species